UAGGUUGGACUUACCUUUAAUCAUACUGUGUACGAUUUUGUACACAGUCUAGUCAGCGAGCUUACCUAUUCAUUGUGACAUCAUACACUUGUAAAAUUAAAGUUUCAUUUUCACUUUUGUUUCUAAGAAGUGAACUUACAUUUUCAGAAAAUGUAGGACUAUCUUUUGUUUUUUCCUCUCUUUUACUAUGAUGAUUUUCCUGCUGUGAAGCUUUUCUUGUUUAAAGCUCAAUUUCUCUAUGACCACGGAAGUAAACAUCCUGAUGCAUUCUUACCAUGUGAAUGUUGAGAGCGGGUUCAUUUUUGAAAUCUUCUUUCUGACAGACAUAUUCUAUAUGAUCAGCUGAGAAUUUGUGAUUUCACUGGAUUAUUUAAUGGAUAGGCUUAUUAGGCAUAUGUUUGGAUAUCUCUGGAUCAGCUGAGAUGUUAUUUCACCUGGAUUAUUUAUUGGAUAGGCUUAUUGGGCAUAUAGUUGAUUAUCUCUG